GAUGAACGCUGGCGGCGUGCCUAACACAUGCAAGUCGAGCGAACCCUUUGGGGUGAGCGGCGGACGGGUGAGUAACGCGUGGGUAACCUGCCCUAUACACACGGAUAACGUACCGAAAGGUACGCUAAUACGGGAUAAAGUUGUUGGAUGGCAUCUUCUAACAAUCAAAGCUCCGGCGGUAUAGGAUGGACCCGCGUCUGAUUAGCUAGUUGGUGAGGUGAUGGCUCACCAAGGCGACGAUCAGUAGCCGACCUGAGAGGGUGAUCGGCCACACUGGAACUGAGACACGGUCCAGACUCCUACGGGAGGCAGCAGUGGGGAAUAUUGCACAAUGGGCGAAAGCCUGAUGCAGCAACGCCGCGUGAGCGAUGAAGGUCUUCGGAUCGUAAAGCUCUGUCCAAGGAAGAUAAUGACGGUACUUGAGGAGGAAGCCCCGGCUAACUACGUGCCAGCCGCCGCAGUAA
rnacentral:rRNA from 1 species